rnacentral:rRNA from 1 species
AUGGACACGGACAUGGACGAGUUCAGCAACCCAGGCUGCGGCGGGACGGGCGGCGCCGGCUGCGACUGCCGGGACUGCGAGGACUACUGGAACCACGACCACGGCCACGCCAAGCAGUUCCUCCUCUUCGCCUCCGACCACAAAGAUUUUCUGUGCAUACCGUGGGAGGUCAGAAGACAGCUGAGAAAUGUGAUCACCGACGGCGAGCCUAUCAAACUUGAAGCUCCCGAUGGCCAGAUGCACAGUGUUAAAUUCGUCAAGUUCGGCCUGAUAACUCUUACGACUGGCUGGCGGCGCUUUGUGAAUGCAAAUCGCAUACGACGAGGUGACCCCAUCUUGUUCGUCUACUGUGGGAGCUCCACGUUCAAGGUCCACAUAUGCAGUUCAUCCAGUCACAAGAAUUCUCUGCCCUGUUCUCAACAGCCUCCCAACAUCCUUAGAGCUGUUCCUCCUCAUGAUCGUCAUGUGCUGAAUGAACAAAUGGUGCCUGGUCCUGCACAUGUUGGCUAUACCAUAUCCCUUGGGACCUGGCUAACCAAAGAACAAAAGAAGAAAGUGCUAGAGCUAGCUGAUAGCAGCAUGAGGUCUGAAAUUCCUCUGCAUGUGGCAGCUAUGAUCAAAAGAAAUGCCAACGAGGACUGCUAUGUUUACAUACCGUUGAAGCUUUUGGACAAUUUCAAAGAGGGGGUAACUGAAGCUGCCAUUCAGCUUGAAGCCCAUGGCAACGACAUGGUAUACAGUGUUGGCACAAGCAAGCACAGUGAUGAUCAAGUAAUCCUCCAAUCUGGGUUGAGUCAUUUUGUAGCUUCUCUCCGCAUACAAGACAACGACCUCCUCGUCUUCAGAAACAAGUGGAAAGACCGCCUUGAAGUUCUUGUCCUUGAUCCGAGCGGCUGUGAGAAAACUUGUUUUGCCAUGGGAAACUCUUCAAAUGCUCAGGAGAUUGCUUCGACAUCCUCCCCUUGUACUAAGUCAGGAUACAUCGCUGGCAGGUCGAAUGAAACAAGUUCAGAAGCUCCUAUGUCCAACAAGUCCUACAUAUUACCCGAACGGAAGAACCUAACUAUGCAACAAGAGAAGAAAGUAAAGGAGAAAGUCCGGUCGAUAGGAUCUGAAUUCCCUGUGUUUGUGAAGGUGAUGACGGCACGCGAUUUAUCGAAGCCAACAAAGCUGAAUUUCUGCGUGGAAUAUGCUUCGGCGUGUCUCCCGCUCGAACAAACACCUCUCCUACUUGGGCUGGCGGGCAGCACGAUGCAGUGGCCUACAAUGCUGACCGUCAUGGAAUAUACGAAUUGGAGGAUGAUUUCCUUACUCUGGAAGGACUUUGUCUUGCAGACCGAGAUGAAGGCGGGAGACAUCUGCCUCAUCGAACUGGCAGACAGGAGCAGCGAGAGCCUCAAGAUGAUGGUCCAUCUGAUCCGCAAGUCAGAAAUGCAGCUCUAG